GAUGAACGCUGGCGGCGUGCCUAAUACAUGCAAGUCGAGCGAACGGACGAGAAGCUUGCUUCUCUGAUGUUAGCGGCGGACGGGUGAGUAACACGUGGAUAACCUACCUAUAAGACUGGGAUAACUUCGGGAAACCGGAGCUAAUACCGGAUAAUAUUUUGAACCGCAUGGUUCAAAAGUGAAAGACGGUCUUGCUGUCACUUAUAGAUGGAUCCGCGCUGCAUUAGCUAGUUGGUAAGGUAACGGCUUACCAAGGCAACGAUGCAUAGCCGACCUGAGAGGGUGAUCGGCCGCACUGGAACUGAGCCACGGUCCAGACUCCUACGGGAGGCAGCAGUAGGGAAUCUUCCGCAAUGGGCGAAAGCCUGACGGAGCAACGCCGCGUGAGUGAUGAAGGUCUUCGGAUCGUAAAACUCUGUUAUUAGGGAAGAACAUAUGUGUAAGUAACUGUGCACAUCUUGACGGUACCUAAUCAGAAAGCCACGGCUAACUACGUG
rnacentral:rRNA from 1 species